AUACGUAGGGGGCGAGCGUUGUCCGGAAUGAUUGGGCGUAAAGGGCGCGUAGGCGGCCCGGUAAGUCUGGAGUGAAAGUCCUGUUUUUAAGAUGGGAAUUGCUUUGGAUACUGUCGGGCUUGAGUGCAGGAGAGGUAAGUGGAAUUCCCAGUGUAGCGGUGAAAUGCGUAGAGAUUGGGAGGAACACCAGUGGCGAAGGCGACUUACUGGACUGUAACUGACGCUGAGGCGCGAAAGUGUGGGGAGCAAACAGGAUUAGAUACCCUGGUAGUCCACACUGUAAACGAUGAAUGCUAGGUGUAGGGGGUAUCGACCCCCUCUGUGCCGCAGUCAACACAAUAAGCAUUCCGCCUGGGGAGUACGGCCGCAAGGUUGAAACUUAAAGGAAUUGACGGGG
rnacentral:rRNA from 1 species